UACGGAGGGAGCUAGCGUUAUUCGGAAUUACUGGGCGUAAAGCGCACGUAGGCGGCUUUGUAAGUAAGAGGUGAAAGCCCAGAGCUCAACUCUGGAAUUGCCUUUUAGACUGCAUCGCUUGAAUCAUGGAGAGGUCAGUGGAAUUCCGAGUGUAGAGGUGAAAUUCGUAGAUAUUCGGAAGAACACCAGUGGCGAAGGUGGCUGACUGGACAUGUAUUGACGCUGAGGUGCGAAAGCGUGGGGAGCAAACAGG
rnacentral:rRNA from 1 species